GUCAGGAUGGCCGAGCGGUCUAAGGCGUCAGUCUCAAAAAUUGAGGCGUGGGUUCGAAUCCCACUUCUGACA